UUGAAUCGGGGAUAACUCUUCGAAAGGGGAGUUAAUACCGGAUAAUAUUCCAAUUCCCACGGGAGUUGGAAUCAAAGGUGGCCUCUGCAUGCAAGCUAUCGUUUAAGGAUGGGCCCGCGUACCCUUAGCUAGUUGGUAGGGUAAUGGCCUACCCAGGCAACGAUGGUUAGCUGGUCUGAAAGGAUGGCCAGCCCCACUGGAACUGAGACACGGUCCCGAAUCCUACGGGAGGGAGCAGUGGGGAAUCUUGCGCAAUGGGGGAAAACCUGACGCAUCAACCCCGCGUGGGUGAUGAAGGCCUUCGGGUCCUAAAGCCCUGUUGGGGGGAAAGAAACUUGGGGAUUAUAAUACCCUUUCCCACUUGAAGGGACCCCCCCAAAGGGAGCACCCCGCUAACUUCCCUGCCCGCAGCCCGCGGGUAAUUACCGGAGGGGGGAAGCCUUGUUCGGAAAUAUUUUGGGGGUAAAAACGGCGUGUAGGCGGGUCGGGGAAAAACACAUGUGAAAAACCUUUUUGCCUUACAAAAAAAAAAGUAUUUUUAAAAUUUCCCCGUUGGAAGACGGGAGAAGGAGAAAGGGAAUUCCCGCGGGUAGAGGGGGAAAUUCGUAAAAUAUCGGGGAGGAAAACCCAGUGGCGGAAGACGGCUCUCUGGUCCCAUACCUGACGCUGAAAACGCGGAAAGCGUGGGGGAGCAAACAGGAUUAGAUACCCUGGUAGUCCACCCCCGUAAACAAUAGGGCACUAGGUGUAGGAGGUAUUGACCCCUUGUUGUGCUCGAAGCUAACGCAUUAAGUGCCCCGCCUGGGGAGUACGGCCGCAAGGCUAAAACUCAAAGGAAUUGACGGGGGCCCGCACAAGCGGUGGAGCAUGUGGUUCAAUUCGACGCAACGCGAAGAACCUUACCUGGGCUUGACAUCCGCUGACCGCUACGGAAACGUAGUCUUCUCCGCAAGGAGACAGCGAGACAGGUGCUGCAUGGCUGUCGUCAGCUCGUGUCGUGAGAUGUUGGGUUAAGUCCCGCAACGAGCGCAACCCUCAUCCUUAGUUGCCAUCAUUGAGUUGGGAACUCUAAGGAAACUGCCUCGGUUAACGGGGAGGAAGGUGGGGAUGACGUCAAGUCCUCAUGGCCUUUAUGUCCAGGGCUACACACGUGCUACAAUGGCCGGUACAAAGCGCUGCCAAGUCGCAAGACGGAGCCAAUCGCAAAAAACCGGUCUCAGUUCGGAUUGCAGGCUGCAACUCGCCUGCA
rnacentral:rRNA from 1 species